rnacentral:rRNA from 1 species
UGAAAUCCUAUGGCUCAACCAUAGAACUGCAUCCAAAACUGAGGGGCUAGAGUCUGGGAGGGGAAGAUGGAAUUAGUGGUGUAGGGGUAAAAUCCGUAGAGAUCACUAGGAAUACCAAAAGCGAGGGCGAUCUUCUGGAACAGUACUGACGCUGAGGCGCGAAAGCGUGGGGAGCAAACAGGAUUAGAUACCCUGGUAGUCCACGCCCUAAACUAUGAAUGUUAGUCGUCGGGAGGCUCGUCCUCUCGGUGAUGCAGCUAACGCAUUAAACAUUCCGCCUGGGGAGUACGGUCGCAAGAUUAAAACUCAAAGGAAUAGACGGGGACCCGCACAAGUGGUGGAGCAUGUGGUUUAAUUCGAAGAUACGCGAAGAACCUUACCUGGCCUUGACAUUGAUAGAAUCUGCUAGAGAUAGCGGAGUGCCCUUCGGGGAGCUUGAAAACAGGUGCUGCACGGCUGUCGUCAGCUCGUGUCGUGAGAUGUUGGGUUAAGUCCCGCAACGAGCGCAACCCUCGUCACUAGUUACUAACGGUUCGGCCGAGGACUCUAGUGAGACUGCCUUCGUAAGGAGGAGGAAGGUGAGGACGACGUCAAGUCAUCAUGGCCCUUACGGCCAGGGCGACACACGUGCUACAAUGGGAUGUACAAUGAGACGCAAUACCGCGAGGUGGAGCAAAUCUAUAAAGCAUCUCUCAGUUCGGAUUGUAGU